rnacentral:lncRNA from 1 species
UGAAAGGCUAAUGGCGGACGCCGGCGGGUUGGCAGUGGUGGUGGCUUAGGCCUUGAAGGGAUUCAGCAUCCGUCGGGUAUCGAAGCCAUCCUUCUUGCAGCAGGGUAAAGAAGUGGCCUCACAGUUUCUCUGUAGCGGAGGAAGUGGAGAGCGAUCACAGGAGAGAGCUGCCCGGCACUUUGGCGGGAGCCACAGAAGCAGUUUUAGGCCCGAGUGGUUCGCCUGCUUUGACUUGGAACUGUUGCCAUAACCAAGACGUGACUGAGUGUCACAGCUUUGCUUGUCAUCAUGUUUCUGUACAACUUGACCUUACAGCGGGCCACUGGCAUCAGCUUUGCCAUCCAUGGCAACUUCUCUG